GACGAACGCUGGCGGCGUGCUUAACACAUGCAAGUCGAACGGUAAGGCCCUUCCUGGGUUGGGUGCUCGAGUGGCGAACGGGUAAGUAACAAGUGAGUAGCCUGCCCUUUACGUUUGGAGAACGUCAAGUAACUGGGGCUAUUGCCGUAUGGUCGCGCCGCCUGGUUGGUGGUGGUUGGAUAGGUUCGGCGGUUGGGGAUGGACUGGCGGCUUACCAGCUUGUUGGUGGGGUAGUGGCUUACCAGGGCUUUGACGGGCAGCCGGCCUGAGAGGGUGACCGGCAACAUUGGGACUGGGAUACGGCCCAGCCCCCUACGGGAGGAAGCAGUGGGGAAUAUUGCAAAAUGGGCGGAAGCCUAAUCAAGCAACGCCGCGUGCGGGAUGACGGCCUUCGGGUUGUAACCCGCUUUCGCCUGUGACGAAGCGUGAGUGACGGUAAUGGGUAAAGAAGCACCGGCUAACUACGUG
rnacentral:rRNA from 1 species